AUUACAUGGCACGUCAUAUAAACACAUUCAGCAAUAUUACAUAAUGAGAAAAAAACAUACUAAUAUAAAUAUAAACAUCAGUUAACACAGUUUAACAAGUUAAAAUUUCAAUCCAUCAACACGCUGAAGACAACACAAGUCAGAACUCGAAUCUCAAAAACUCGUCAACAGAAUAAAAUACGUUCUCCAACAACAAAUUCUUGACAUUUCUUUGAAGAGCUGACCUUGGCAAACUCUUCAUAGAUUGAGGAAGCUUGUUGUACAGUUUAAUGCACCAGUAAUUCACUGCAAUUUGAGUGGAUUUAGCUCUAUGAAAAUUGCUCCUGAACUCAUCUCUGUGUCUGGUGUUGUACGAAUGGCAAUCGCUGACUUGAGUGAACCCAUUUUUGUUUGAGUGAACAAAUUUCAAGCACUCCAGAAUGAAAACGGAGACAAUGGUAAGUAUCCUAUGCUUCUUAAAUAGUUCUCGACAGCUAUGUGUUUUUGGUACACCACUCAAAAUUCUUACUGCCUCCUUUUGUUUCAGGAAAAUCCGAUCAAGACCUGGACUAUGCCCCCAUAUCAGUAUCCCAUAUGUCGCCACAGAGUGAAAGUUGGAAAAAUAAGUCAGCUUACAGACAUUAUCGGUAGAGAUGGCCUUCAUACGCCUCAUAGUAAAAAAGGCUGUCGACAGUUUCCUGACCAUUAAAGGUAAACCAGUCCUCCGCAACUCGCAGGGUCUCAUUACACACACGCUCCAGUUCCUCCCGUGAAGAAGUAAUAUUGAGAAAGGAUGUAUCAUCUGCAUAUAAACUCGUUGCCUCGCACGGAACAUUUCCUGAGUUCAUACCCUUCCAUGUGACCACCUGCUUUCUAUCAGUUAAGUAUGAUCUGAUGAAUUUCAAAGCUAUACCUCUUACUCCAUAGUACUCCAUCUUCUCAAGCAGUAUUUCCCUGUCAACACAGUCAAAAGCCUUACUGAGAUCUAACGCAAGUAUUUCAGGGUGUAGAUGAUGGUCUAAAGCCUCUGUGACUCCCGCAAUGAGUUCAACUAUUGCUGAAGUAGUGGAUCGCUUCGAUCUAAAACCAUGUUGAGAGUCAGAAAUAUAGGAAUGUUCAUCUAGAAAGGAUAGUAAGCGUUUUCUCAGAAUUUCUUCAAAAACUUUAGAUAUAAUUGGCAGGAUCGACACUGGGCGAUAAUUGCCCUCUUCAUCC